UAUAAAUGCACCAUACCAUGAAAAUAUUUUCAUAUAUUUCUCUAGGAACUCACCAGAAAUUAUUCUGACAAUAAAAAGUGAGUUGUAACCAAAAAGAUGUUCAGAUAAUACCAAAAGUGAUCAUUUUUGAGAAGAAGAAAUAAAUUUCAAAUAGAAGUAAUAAAUAGACUCUUGAGUUGAUUAAUAAAUUAAUGGAGAGGACUAUGAAUCAUAUGAACACACUGGGGAAGAACAUAAAUGUCCUGCUACUUUGAUCUAGAACACUAAUAUCAGUGAAGGUAACAGAAAACUGGUAAUUAUACACCACAACAGGACAUCAGAAC
rnacentral:lncRNA from 10 species